ensembl:lncRNA
CUAAUUUUAGAUCUUUCUUUUCAAAUAUGUGAGUUCUGACCAAUAUCAUCUUCCAUCUCUUUGAAGAACUUUCAAUAUUUCUUACAAGGCAGGCCUCCUCGCAACAAAUUCCCUCAAUUUUUGGUUGUCUGAGAAAGUCUUUAUUUCUCAUUCACUUUUGAAGGAUAAUUUUGUAUGGUACACAAUUCCAGGAAAGAGUGUUGAUUUCGAAGUUCCCUACAUGCAAGACCAGAAACCGUAAGUCUGGGUUCCAGCUUAAUGAUAUUUUUCUCUACUGCCUGCUGAGAGAUAAGGACGUUUACUAAUUCCAAGGCAUCUUCAGAUACUAACCCUCUAACUGCAGUGAAAAUAAAAUGCUAUGGCCUGGUCUUUCAUUUCAAAAUUAAUAGACAUUUCAAGUUCACAUUUGGAAUAAUAUAAAGAAUUUGAAUCUAAAAGUAAGUGGCCAUGAAUAAUUACGUGUGUGUGUGUGUGUUUGGGAAAAUGAGUUUGGGGACAUUUAAGUGAAUACUUCCAUACAAAAUUUCAGCAACAAAAGUAUGACCUCAGCUGACAUGAAGCCUGGCAAAGCAGAGGAUGUGGCAAAUGAAAGAAGAGCCCAUUGUGAAGUAAUGUGAGACAUAGUAUUUGAAAAGAUAUUGCUAAGACCAACAUCAAAGAGGAUACUGCUUAUACACUGCUGGUGAGAAUGCAAACUGGUGCAGCCACUGUGGAAAACAGUAUGCAGAUUCCUGAAAAAUAAGAAUAGAAAUACCAUAUGAUCAAGCUAUUUUACAUCUGGGUAUUUAUCCAAAGAAGAUGAAAACCUGAAUGCAUAAGGAUAUAUGCACCCCUAUGUUCACUGCAGCAUUAUUCACAAUAGCCAAGACUUGGAAACAAUCUAAGUGCCCAUCAAGGGAUGAAUGAAUAAAGAAGAUGUGGUAUAUAUAUAUAUGCAAUGGAAUACUACUCAGCUAUAAAAAAAGAUGAAAUCCAAUAUGGAUGGACCUUGAGGGUAUUACGUCGAGCAAAAUAAGUUGGAUGGAGAAAGUGAACUAUUGUAUGAUUUCACUCAUAAGUAGAAGAUAAAAACAACAGCAAUAACAAACAAACACAUAGAUACAGAGAUCAGAUUGGUGGUUAUCAGAGGGGAAGGGGGUGUGAGAAGCGUGAAAGAGGUGACAGAGCACAUGUGCAUGGUGAUGGAUAGUAAUUAGUCUUUGGGUGAUGAACAUGAUGUAGUCUAUACAGAAAUUGAAAUACAAUGAUGUACACCUGAAAUUAAUAUAAUGUUAUAAACCAGUGUUACCUCAAUAAAAAAUAAAUUAAAAGAAAAGUCAAUUAGUAUCUCACCAUACUACCUGUAAGAUCAUAUAUCCCUGUUGCCCAGAAAGCUGUAAAAAGGAGUCCUGUCUCUAUUGGAUACAGUGAAACAACUUAUUACUCUGAGGAGCAGAUCGUGUUGAUUACGACUCAGGUGAGAGCAGUACCAAAACCAGAAGCUUUGGACAAGACUAAAAUAUUGGAUUUUAGAUGAUGAUUUUAUCUCAGAGCCAGAUACUUAUUUAACAAUUAUUACCUCCCUUGGAGUUUUAACUUUUUUAAUACUAAUAACUGAAAACUGCAUCUAAAAAUUGUUAUGCUUUUAUUUUUGUAUCUAUUACAUCCUUUUUUCUCAUAACAAAAUAGGUAAGAGAGGGAUUAUUUCCCUCAAAAUGGGUAUGAAAUAAUUAAGACAAAGAAAUAAUAUUUAUAACUUAUAAAGAAUCUCAUAGUAACAACAAUAAGAUUAGGGCAGCUUAAAACAAGAGAGUUAUUACUCAAACUGAGCAAUGCCCAGAGAAUAAAAUCUAUAUAAUUAGGAGAUGGAGAAGAGUAUUAUUGCAGGAGAAAACUCAGACGAACAAAAGCUACUACUAUUUUCUAUGAAAAUUAACUCAAGACUUAUUGGCAGCCAAAGGAAAGAAGGAAAACCUAUGGACUCCGUAGGGUACAUCACUUAAAGGAAAGAAGGAUACCAAUACUUUGGGUGAGAGAAACGUGGACCAUAGAAGUUACAGAACUGAUCACAUGAAAUGUAUCAAGGAGAAAGUUUAAACAAAUAUAGAACCACACAACUCCAAAACUGGAAUGAAAUUCAGAUUUUUCUUUUUUAGGAAGAUUGGCCCUGAGCUAACAUUUGUUGCAAAUCUUCCUCUUUUUUUUUCCUCCCCAAAGCCCCAGUACAUAGUUGUAUAUCCUAGUUGCAGGUCAUUCUUGUUCUUCUGUGUGGGAUUCCACCAAGCAUGGCUUGAUGAGCUGUGUGUAGGUCCACACCCAGGAUCUGAACCUGUGAACCCCAGGCUGCCAAAUCAGAGCCCGUGAACUUAACCACUCUGCCACGGGGCCAGCCCCUCAGAUGUCUUUGAGUCAUCUAAUUUUACAAAGAGACUUGGGCACAGAGAAGGAAGAAAUUUCCUAAAAUCACUCAGGGCGUGAAAUGAAUAAUGCCAGGUUCAGGGGCUCAGAGUCCACCAAUCUGCCCAUGUUAUUACAUUACUUACUUUGAAAUUCACACAGUUCCUUCCUGGGGGAGGAAGAAGGAACCACAUGGGUCCCGACUCCUGACCCUGUGCUGAGAAUUCAAAAUACAGAAUGAAGCUGCUCAAAUUAAAGAAAGGCUCAAACAUCUUCCCUCUUUUUCUCUUUUAAGAAGUCUAAGUUUAGAGUGCUAUCUUUAGCUAAGUCUUGGUUGACAAGUAGAACUGAACGAAAAAUUAUAGGGCACAAAGUCUUUGCAACUCUCAAGGAAGAAUAUGACAAGGGAAUGAGAAGAAAAAUUUGCUUUGCAACAAUUUUAAUCAGAGAAACAGAAACAACAGUGUCUGUAGCAAAAACGAACAUUAAUUGGAUUCUGAGUGUAUGCCAGAGACUGUGCUAGGUACUUCACAGCCAUUCUCUCAUUUAAUCUUCAUAACACUCCUAUAAAGUAGGAUCCCCAUUUUAUAGAUAAGAAAACUGAGGCAAAGAGGUUAUAUACAUUUUCUAGAGAUAAAGAACUCUUAAGGGAUGAGGACAGAAUUUGAGCAACGAUCUGUCUGACUCAGAAUUUCCACCUUUCUUGCUUUGCCAUGGCAUAAGAAGACUCUAAUGGAAGAGAUGGAGUAUUCUAUAUGUGUGGGUGAGAUUGACUGGGGCGGGGAGUGGCAGGAAUAGAAUAACAAGAGAGUUCUUAGGAAACAUACCAGGAUCCUUAGCUUUAUGCCCUACAUCCACAAAUGGGAGUACAAGAGAAGUAAAUUCAAAAUUGAAUGUUUUUAUUUUGCUCUGGUUUUGUUUUUGGACUAUUUUUUUAGCUUUUUAUUUUUGUUUUAUUUUUUGACUUUUUUAUAAUAUGGAAAUUGAGUUUCUGUUUCCAGUAAUAGAAAGAAUCCUGACUGACACAGGAAGUAUCUCACCCUGUAAAGGAAACAAGUCUGAUGUCACAAGCCAUAAAUCUGGAACAGCAGGACUGCUGCUCUGGGAGCACAAAGGUGGCUCUGGAUGAAGGACCUCCUACCCCGUAUGUCCACUGCCCUAUUGCAUUCAUUGCCCUUGAACACAUUUUACCCACCAGGAAAGGACACUACCUCUUCCUUAUUUCUGUCCUCCCUGUUUAUGUGCCCUGUAUAUGUUUUAGAUAGUUACAAAACAACACAAUUUUUUUAAAUUUCCAAAAUCAAGGGCAAAAGGAGACAAAGGAAUUCAAGUGUAUAUCAAGCGUGCAUAACCACACAGAGAAGACUUAUUUCAAGAGACUUGAAAGCACAGUGAUGUGGCAGUACAUCUUUUUCUGGAUUAUCUUAAGGAAAAAAGAAACCUCAGAGAAGUGUCAAAAUUUUUCAAUUCUUAAUAUUGUUAGUGAAAAUACUAUUGACAAUGUACUUCUGAUAUGAUUAUAAAUAAAUUAAUGGAUAGAGCAGAGAACAUCAAUUGGAAUCAAGAAUUUCAG